rnacentral:rRNA from 1 species
UACGUAGGUGGCGAGCGUUGUCCGGAUUUAUUGGGUUUAAAGGGUGCGUAGGCGGUCUUUUAAGUCAGUGCUGAAAUAUCCCGGCUUAACCGGGAGGGUGGCAUUGAUACUGCAGGACUUGAGUAAAGUUGAGGUUGGCGGAAUUGACGGUGUAGCGGUGAAAUGCUUAGAUAUCGUCAAGAACACCUAUUGCGAAGGCAGCUAACUAAGCUUAAACUGACGCUGAGGCACGAAAGUGUGGGGAUCAAACAGG